GAUGAAGAACGCAGCGAAAUGCGAUAAGUAAUGUGAAUUGCAGAAUUCAGGGAAUCAUCGAAUCUUUGAACGCACCUUGCGCCCUUUGGCCAUUCCGAAGGGCAUGCCUGUUUGAGUAUCAUGAACACCUCAACUCUUCAUGGUUUUCCGUGAUGAGCUUGGACUUUGGGGGUCUUGCUGGCCUAUGGUCAGCUCCUCUAAAAUAAAUCAGCUUGCCAGUGUUUGGUGGGUAUCACAGGUGUGAUAACUAUCUACGCUUGUGGUUUUCCACCAGGUAACCUUCAGCAGUGGAGGUUCGCUGGAGCUCACAGAUGUGUCUCUCCUCAGUGAGGACAGCUCUUUGAAUGUUUGAUCUCAAAUCAGGUAGGACUACCCGCUGAACUUAAGCAUAUCAAUAAGCGGAGGA
rnacentral:misc_RNA from 1 species